GGGCGUAAAGAGCUCGUAGGCGGUUUGUCGCGUCUGCUGUGAAAUCCCGAGGCUCAACCUCGGGCCUGCAGUGGGUACGGGCAAACUAGAGUGUGGUAGGGGAGAUUGGAACUCCUGGUGUAGCGGUGGAAUGCGCAGAUAUCAGGAAGAACACCGAUGGCGAAGGCAGAUCUCUGGGCCAUUACUGACGCUGAGGAGCGAAAGCGUGGGGAGCGAACAGGAUUAGAUACCCUGGUAGUCCACGCCGUAAACGUUGGGAACUAGAUGUAGGGUCCAUUCCACGGAUUCUGUGUCGCAGCUAACGCAUUAAGUUCCCCGCCUGGGGAGUACGGCCGCAAGGCUAAAACUCAAAGGAAUUGACGGGGGCCCGCACAAGCGGCGGAGCAUGCGGAUUAAUUCGAUGCAACGCGAGGGACCUUACCAAGGCUUGACAUAUACCGGAAAAGCGUAGAAAUACGCUCCCCGCAAGGUCGGUAUACAGGUGGUGCAUGGUUGUCGUCAGCUCGUGUCGUGAGAUGUUGGGUUAAGUCCCGCAACGAGCGCAACCCUCGUCCUAUGUUGCCAGCACGUAAUGGUGGGAACUCAUGGGAGACUGCCGGGGUCAACUCGGAGGAAGGUAAU
rnacentral:rRNA from 1 species